rnacentral:rRNA from 1 species
AUUGAACGCUGGCGGCAGGCCUAACACAUGCAAGUCGAGCGGAUGAGAGGAGCUUGCUUCUCGAUUCAGCGGCGGACGGGUGAGUAAUGCCUAGUAAUCUGCCUGGUAGUGGGGGACAACGUUUCGAAAGGAACGCUAAUACCGCAUACGUCCUACGGGAGAAAGCAGGGGACCUUCGGGCCUUGCGCUAUCAGAUGAGCCUAGGUCAGGAUUAGCUAGUUGGUGAGGUAAUGGCUCACCAAGGCGACGAUCCGUAACUGGUCUGAGAGGAUGAUCAGUCACACUGGAACUGAGACACGGUCCAGACUCCUACGGGAGGCAGCAGUGGGGAAUAUUGGACAAUGGGCGAAAGCCUGAUCCAGCCAUGCCGCGUGUGUGAAGAAGGUCUUCGGAUUGUAAAGCACUUUAAGUUGGGAGGAAGGGUUGUAGAUUAAUACUCUGCAAUUUUGACGUUACCGACAGAAUAAGCACCGGCUAACUCUGUGCCAGCCGCCGCCGUAAUAC